rnacentral:rRNA from 1 species
AACGAACGCUGGCGGCAUGCUUAACACAUGCAAGUCGAACGAGACGUUCGGGUUUAGGGGCGGACGGGGGGGGAACGCCGGGGGACCUGCCCGUAGGUACGGAAUCACUCACUGAAAGGGGUGCUAAUACCGCAGAAGGUCUUCGGGCCAAAGAUUUAUUGCCUUUGGGUGGGCGCGCGUUAGUUUAGCUAGUUGGUAGGGUAAAAGCAGCUCAAGGGGACGUUCCAGAGCUGGUCGGAGAGGAAGAUCCGCAACACUGGGGCUGAGACACGGCCCAGACUCCUACGGGACGGAGCAGUGGAGAAUAUUGGACACUGGGCGAAAGCGUGAUACCGCCAUGCCGGGGAAGUGGUGAAGGCCUUAGGGUUGUAAUGCUCUUUUACCCGGGGUGAUAAUGACGGUACCGGGAGAAUAAGCACCGGCUAACUCCGUG